rnacentral:rRNA from 1 species
GAUGAACGCUGGCGGCGUGCCUAACACAUGCAAGUCGAACGAAGUGGCGGACGGGUGAGUAACACGUGAGCAACCUGCCUUUCAGAGGGGGAUAACGGCUGGAAACGGUCGCUAAUACCGCAUGCUGAAAGAUGGGCUCGCGUCUGAUUAGAUAGUUGGUGGGGUAACGGCCUACCAAGUCUACGAUCAGUAGCCGGACUGAGAGGUUGAACGGCCACAUUGGGACUGAGAUACGGCCCAGACUCCUACGGGAGGCAGCAGUGGGGAAUAUUGCACAAUGGGGGAAACCCUGAUGCAGCAACGCCGCGUGAAGGAUGACGGUUUUCGGAUUGUAAACUUCUUUUCUUAGUGACGCGGUAGCUAAGGAAUAAGCAUCGGCUAACUACGUGCCAGCAGCCGCGGUAAUACGUAGGAUGCAAGCGUUAUCCGGAUUUACUGGGUGUAAAGGGGGCGCAGGCGGGACUGCAAGUUGGAUGUGAAAUACCGUGGCUUAACCACGGAACUGCAUCCAAAACUGUAGUUCUUGAGUGAAGUAGAGGCAAGCGGAAUUCCGAGUGUAGCGGUGAAAUGCGUAGAUAUUCGGAGGAACACCAGUGGCGAAGGCGGCUUGCUGGGCUUUAACUGACGCUGAGGCUCGAAAGUGUGGGGAGCAAACAGGAUUAGAUACCCUGGUAGUCCACACUGUAAACGAUGAUAGCUAGGUGUGGGGCCGUGCCGGAGUUAACGCAAUAAGCUAUCCACCUGGGGAGUACGACCGCAAGGUUGCAACUCAAAGGAAUUGACGGA